CCCAAUCCCUGCUGCGCUCUUGGCUGUGACUCGCUUUCGGAGCUACGCCCGGGAUCUCUUGUGACGCUCAGGUGGAUAUGAGGAUAAACCGAGAUGUACCAAGCAUUUUGAACAGGACGCACCCACUAAGCCCUCAAAUGGUUACUUCUUUGCCCACCUAACAGUAACGUGGUUCCUUAGGAUAUGAAAUACCUGUAAGCAUGUUUCACCUGUUCUUCCUUUUUGGGUGUUUGUGAUGGGUUUUAUUAUUUUGUGGGAAAUCUUUGUGCAGGCUUUUUAGUACGUGUGCCCAUCUGCUCACGUGGUCAGUCCACAGAAAUGGUUUUACUAUGCCUUUUGCUACUUGUGCCCAAGUGCUCUCUGAAAGACUGACCCAAAUGUUCACAUCCACUAAUAGGAAAACUGUCUUAUCGCAUCUUUGCUAGCAAAAACGGCUAUUGUGAAAAUUGUCUAUUUUCUCAAGUCACUAGCUAUCCACUCAAAAACACACAGAGACUAUAUAUACAUACAUAUAAUUUGCUAAUGUAAUCUAGCUGUGAUCUUGUUGAAACGCGCGCCCUUCCGGCCAGCAGUGGAAUACUGCUGCACUGCGUUUCGACCCGUUGUGUUUAUUUCCUCUUUUCUGAGAGACAUUAAGGUCCUGUGGGCUUCUAUCAGAGUCUCACUAUUCUUACUGAUCAGCUUAAGCUUCAACUAGAACCACAUCGUUGACGGUCAUGUCUUGUAAAUUUGCCAACUACCUUUUCGGACCUAAAUAUUACCAUGUUCUGUGGCAUGUCAGGCUGAGCCAUGUACCACUUUGUGAUUUCUUCCCUAGCUUUCAAGGGUGAACGACUCUCAGCCAUCCACUUAGUUGGUAGAGCUUCUACCUGCCUGGCUUUCUUUGAUUUGUCUUGAAACCAUGGCUUCUUUACAGCUUCAAGGGGAGAGUGCCUGGAGAACACCAACUACAAAUCCCUGAUGUCCUGGUUUUGACACUGGAUGACUUGACCCAGGUCCACUCACAUCCGUCCUUCUGUCACUUUCCCAGAGGAGGUACGAGCUGGUCAAACAUCCCUGAUUAGCAGACUCUUCAAACAGGUCACGGGCCUGCUGUUUCUUCUCUUCAUCCUGGAAUAAGUCCAGACACAGCUGAUGCUUUUCUUAUUCUCCACUUUCUGCUAAACCAUUCUACUAAACACCUUCAUCUGUCUCUGUAGCUCUAAGUGAUCACAUGCAUUGCUCUUUAAUAAAAUGAGUUAACUACAUCAGAAUAGAAAUGACUUCUCUUAAAGACACAAUUUGACAACCAAUAUGGAAAGCAAACUCACAGGUUCCGCCCUCACAGGCCCUGCUUUCUCCUGGAUGAGGUUCGUGUUUGGCUAUGUCGGGGCUCCUCAGCCUCCUCCCUCAUGCCCAGUAUCCCUCCCUGAUACUGCCAACGCCCACCUGUCACCAGAAGCCAUUCCCUGAGUUUGCUGCAGAGGGGGUUCCUUAAUCAUAAAGCUUGUUCAAGUUUUCUCAAGUGUAGAGUCCUACAUGAGGAGUGGGAGAGGCCCACCAAUAGCAGAGCAAUGACACAAGCCCGUUGCUGGGUGCACACUUAGAUGCUCUGACCAGCUCAACAUCCGUUCUCAUGGAAGGGCUCAGUUUGGCUUUGAACCUGGUAUGUCUCCUUUUGCUGCUUUUCACUUACUUUCUGGUCCUUGGUGUUUGCAGCUGCUAGAAAGGUGAGCAGCACAGACAUGCAGAGCUGCUGUAUUACGCAUGCUCACCCAGGCCAGGGACACAUCAAACAAUGUGGAGUCCAACUGGGACGUACAAUUCAACUCACCUCAAAGAGACUCAGCACUCUCCCUAAGCAGUGCAGUAUGGAUGCUCUGUGAGUCUAAAAGGAAAGAGGAGAAAGAAAUGUGGUUAUCAGUGGAGAGAACAUCUGAUGGCUGCCCCUCCCAGUCUGUGUGUCCCAUGGCUCCUGACUGCCCCUCCGCACAGAGGACCGACUGCUUCACGGAGCCUCCGUCCUGCCUUCCCAGCUGUCAAUAUGCCAGCAGUCCAGCCUCUCAUCUGAUUCCCCUGACCUCUGGCUCUGAGGCCUCCUCUCCUGCAGGGUCGUUUCUAGACACUCCCACAUCCACACUCUUGAUUUUCUGUGCCUCCGCUGCCCUCGGAUCCCUGACUUUACAUGGUCCGGUAUCUCCCCUCAAGGUUUCCUCACUUCCCGGGACCCUAUGGGGCUUGGAUUGCCCAGCUCAGCUUGCCCUACAUGUGCCCCUAGCCAGGACUCACUCUUUGCAGCUGACACUCUGCCCUGAGGCUCUCGUGAACCACGGCCUUGCAGCAGCUUCCAGACACUGACCACGGCGGGCGGAUGAAG